GUGUAACACAUGAAAUCAGAGAUGCCAGGGGUAGUGUUAUAAAUGAAAUCAGGGAUGACAGUUGGAGCAUCACACGUUAUGUUGGAGAUAACAGGGUGUGUGUUACACAUGGUGUCAGAGACAAUGGGGGUAUUGUAUCGCAAGAUGACACAGCGAACACUGGUGACACCAGAAGUCAGAGACGACAUAUGGGGUUUGACACACGAAGUCAGAGAUGCCACAGGGAGCGUUUCACAUGAAGUCAGGAAUGCAAAGGGGAGUGUUACACACGAAGGCAGAGACGUCAUGUGGUUGUAACACAUGAUGUCAGAGAUGCUAUGGGGAGUGUUAUGCAGGUAGUCAGGUCACGUGUGUAUGAACAAAAUCAGAGAUGCCAUGGUGAGUGUUACACACACAGUCUGAGAUGCAUGUAGCAUCUGACACACAAAGGCAGAGAGACAACAUAGAGUGUUGCACACGAAGUCCAAGAUGCAAAGGGGAAUGUGACACAUGAAUUCAGAGAUGUCAGUGGGAGUGUUACACAUGAAUCAGAGAUGCCAGGGGCAGUGUUACACAUGAAAUCAGAGACAGCAUGAGAGAGUGUUACACCUGUAGUAAGAGAAGCCAGUGGGAGUGUUAUGCACAAACUCAGAGACACCAGUUGGAGUGUUAUGCAGGAAGUCAGAGAUACCAAGGGGAGUGUGACACAUCAAGUCAGACACGCCAGGGAAAGUGUGACACACAAAGUCAGAGACACUAGGGGAAGCAUGACACAAGAAGUCAGCGGCAACACAGGGAGAGGUACACACAAACACAGAGAUGCCAGUAGGAAUGUGACAGACAAAGUUAGAGAUCCCAGGUACAUUGUGGCACGUGAAAUCAGAGAUGCAAUGGUGGGUGUUACACAUUAAGUCAAAGACACCAGGGGGAGUGUGACACAUGAAAUCAGAGACGCAAUUGGGAGUGUGGUACACGAAGUCAGAGAUGCCACCGAGAGUGUUGCACACGAAAUCAGAAACACCAUGGGGAGUAUGACACACGAAGUAAGAGACAACGGGUCGAGUGUGGCCCUCAAAUUCAGAGAAGCCAUGGGGAGUGUUACACACAAAUUCAAUGAUGCCAGGUGGAGAAAUAGACACAAAGUCAGAGACGCCAGUGGGACUGUUACACAAUGAAGUUUUAGACCACAUGGGCACCAUGAUGCACCAAGUCAGAGAUAGAAGGGGGAGUGUGUUACACAUGAAUUCAGAGAUGCCACGUGAAGUGUUAAACUCAAAAUCAAAGAUACCAGUGUGAGUGUUACACGGGAAGUCAGAUACGCCUCAUGAAGUGUCACACAAGUCAGGGACACCAGGGGGAGCAUGAUACACGAAGUCAGAGACGCAACUUGUAGUGUUAGACACUUAGAGACAGCAGGGGAAGUUUUACACAUGAAGUCAGAGAUUCCAGGGGGAGUGUUACUCAUGAAGUCAGAGACAGCACAUGGAGUGUUACAAAUGAAGUCUGAGAUGCAAGGUGGAAUGUGACACACAAACUCUGAGAUGCCAAGGGUAGUGUUACACAAGAAUUCUGAGACGCAAGUGAGAGUGUGAUACAUGAAUUUAGAGACAUCAGUAGGAGUACUAUGCAUGAAGUAAAGGAAAGCAGGAUCAAGAUGUGGGUUACACAGGAGGUCAGAAAUGCCACAUGGAGUGUUACACAAGACGUCAGAGACACCAGGGGGAGUGUUGUAAUCUAAGUCAGAGAUGUCACUUGGAGUGUUACACACAAAGUCAGAGACACCAGGGGGAGAGUUACACAGGAUGUCAGAGACACCACAUGGACUGUUACAAAUGAAGUCAGAGACACCAGUGUGUGUUUGACAGACGAAGUCAAAGACGUCACUGGGAUUAUGACACACAAAGGCCGAUAAGACAUGGGGUGUGUGAUCCAUGCAUUCAGACACACCACAGGAGAAUGUUAUGUGAAAUGUCAAAGACACCAGGGAUUCUAAUGCUCUAAGACAGUGAUGCAGCAGGGAGUGUUACAAAUUCACUGAUGCCAGGGGAGGUGUUACACAUGAAUUCACACACCAUUGGGAGUAUUACUCACAAAUUCAGAGAUGCCACGGGGGUGUGUUACACACAAUGUGAGACACCACAUACAGUAUUACCCGCCAAGUCAUAGAUAAUAUGGGGAGUGUCACACCCAAAAUCAGAGACGCCAGAGGAGUUGUGACACAUCAAGUCAGAGAAGCCAGAAAGAUUGUGACACAUGAAGUCAGUGAAGCCAGGGGAGUGUAACAUACAAAGUCAGUGAUGCCUGGGGGAGUUUUAUGCACAAAGUCUGAGAUGCCACAGUUGUGUGUUACACACAAAGUUGGAGAUGCCAGGAGGAGUGUUAUGCAUGAAUUCAGAAAGACCAUGGGUAGAGUAAAGCAGGAUAUCAGAGAUGCCACAGAGAGUGUGACACACAAAGUCACAGAUGCCAGAGGCAUUGUGACACACGAAGUCAGAGAUGCCAAAUUGACUGUUACAGAUGAAUUCAGAGGUGCCAGGAGGAGUGUUACACACUAACCCAGAAACAACACGGGAAUUGUUAGACAUGAAGUCUGAUGUGCCAGGGUGAGUGUGACACACAAAGUCAGAAAUGCCAGGGGUAGAGUUACACAGGAAGUCAGAGACACCAGGGUGUGAGUGACGGAAGAAGUCAUAGACACUUUGGGAAGUGUGAAACACGAAACCAGAGACAACAGGUGCAGUAUCACACACGAAAUCAGAAAGGAAUAUUGGGGUGUUACACAUGAAAUCAUAGACACGAGGAGGAGUGUAACAAACGAAAACAGAUAUGUGGUGUGUUACAAAGUAAGAAAACCCAUGUGGAGUGUUACACACAAAGUCAGAGACACCAUGUGGAGUGUGACAAACAAAGUCAGAGACGCCAUUGGUAGUGUAACACAUUGAAGAAAUAGACGGCAGAGGGACUGUGACACAUGCACUCAGAGAAAGAAGUGGGAGUGUGAAACGAAUUCAGAAACAACAAGGUAGUCUGACACAGGAACUAAAAGAUACCAGAGAGGUUGUGACACAGGCAGGCAGAGACACUAGAAGGAUUGUGACACACGAAGUCAGUGACACCACUAGGAGUGUUAGAAACA
ensembl:lncRNA